GAAAACAAGACAUGUUAUCAAGAACAAGACACAAUGAGACUAAAUGAGUAACCUAGGAUUCCCUACAUGCAGCUUCUGGUCCUUGUUGCUAUCUGACCGUCCAGGACCGUAACAACGCAGGCCUUCUGCCCCCUCGACGAGACGAACAUCGUUCUCAUGACGUUGUCAGCCAUCCCCUCUAUAGUUACUGGUCUCUUCAAGACAACACACACAGCAUGGUCUACAGCAAAAUGACAAACAGCCUUAGUUUGGUCAAUGUGGAUGAUAAUAGAUGUAUUAUAGACUUACAAGACAGCAAUUUGCUGCUCAUUGAUAGAGUCUGCUGAGAGUCAGUCAGUGGGUUAGCCAGAAUACAGUAGACCACUGUCAACAGUCUAGUACGAGUGCCUUGGCUUCUCUAGCUACUGAAAGACAGACAGAAUUAUCAAACACUAUUGACUGUGAGAGCUGGACAGACAGAAAGACAGACAGCCAGAAAGAAAGACAGAAAGACAGCCAGCAAGACAUCCAACCAGUCAGAAAGACAGACAGCUAGCCAGACAUGGGUAAAACAGUCAGUCCCACUCAGAGCAGCCUUCACUCAUCCAACAGAUUUUCAUCAGACAGACAGUCGUACACAUUGAACUGAGGGACGUGACUGAAGUCACCCAUCUCCUCACACCAUGACGGUUCCAGUAGAUUAGUGGUUUAGACCAGGGCCACCAGUCUGUGGGAGAAGAGAGACUGUGACCUACCGAUGCUGUGGUGUUACAGCAGCCCAAACCAACACAGCUGUGUGGCGCAGCCUAAACCCUGACAGGAAGGAGCUUCCACUCCAACUACAAUGGACGAAUGCACAUCCACACACAAAGUCUGACUGACUCAAAUGAACAUGUAAUGGUACACUGUUGGUACACUGGGCAGAGAGGUCUGUAGACCUAGAGGAGACAGUGUAGAGGUCUGUAGACCUAGAGGAGACAGUGUAGAGGUCUGUAGACCUAGAGGAGACAGUGUAGAGACACUGGUACACUGGGCAGAGAGGUCUGUAGACCUAGAGGAGACAGUGUAGAGACACUGGUACACUGGGCAGAGAGGUCUGUAGACCUAGAGGAGACAGUGUAGAGACACUGGUACACUGGACAGAGAGGUCUGUAGACCUAGAGGAGACAGUGUAGAGACACUGUAGGUACAAUGUACCCAUCAUAGGGGGAACCCUUAUCGUGACUAACCCACACACACACACACACACACACACACACACACACACACACACACACACACACACACACACACACACACACACACACACACACACACACACACACACACACACACACACACUAGUGGAAAGGAGGUUACAGGAAGCUAGUGCCAUCAAAUGAAAAACCCUUAUCAUGUAGGAACAGAGACAGACAUGGUUGAGAGAAGAAGCACAAAGGAUUGAAGGGAGAGGUCUGGCAUGAGGCUGAAGAUACUAGACUGGCCCUACAUUCUCUAGAUUCAAUCAAUUAACUGUAGUGUAGUCACUCACAG
rnacentral:lncRNA from 1 species